rnacentral:rRNA from 1 species
GGGUCAGUAGGUUGGUCGUGCCACCGGUACGUACUGGUCUCACUGAUUCCUCCUUCCUGAAGAACCGUAAUGCCAUUAAUUUAGUGUUGCGGGGAAACAGGACUGUUACUUUGAAAAAUUAGAGUGUUUAAAGCAAGCUAACGCUUGAAUACAUUAGCAUGGAAUAAUGAAAUAGGACGAUCGAUCCUAUUUUGUUGGUUCCUAGGAUUGACGUA